rnacentral:rRNA from 1 species
AUUGAACGCUGGCGGCAGGCUUAACACAUGCAAGUCGUGCGGGGACUUCGGUCCUAGCGGCGAACGGGUGAGGAAUGCUUGGGAAUCUGCCCAGUAGCGGGGGAUAACGUUUCGAAAGGAACGCUAAUACCGCAUACGCCCUACGGGGGAAAGGGGGGGAUCUUCGGACCUCUCACUAUCGGAUGAGCCCAAGUCGGAUUAGCUAGUUGGUGGGGUAAAGGCCUACCAAGGCGACAAUCCGUAGCUGGUCUGAGAGGAUGAUCAGCCACACUGGAACUGAGACACGGUCCAGAUUCCUACGGGAGGCAGCAGUGGGGAAUAUUGGACAAUGGGCGAAAGCCUGAUCCAGCCAUGCCGCGUGUGUGAAGAAGGCCUUCGGGUUGUAAAGCACUUUAAGCGAGGAGGAAUGGCUGAGGGUUAAUAACCUUCAGCAGUGACGUUACUCGCAGAAUAAGCACCGGCUAACUCUGUGCCAGCCGCCGCAGUAACAC